UACUCUGUAGAGUCUGCAUAUCAAUAAGCGGAGGAAAAGAAACUAACAAGGAUUCCCUCAGUAACGGCGAGUGAAGCGGGAAGAGCUCAAAUUUGAAAUCUUCAAGGUUCUACCUUGACGAAUUGUAGUUUAAAGAAGUGUUUUCUGUUGAAGUUUUGGUAAAAGUUCUUUGGAAUAGGACAUCAUAGAGGGUGAGAAUCCCGUAUUUGACCAUUAUUUCCAGCUGUGUGAUACACUUUCAAAGAGUCGGAUUGUUUGGGAAUGCAGUCCAAAAUGGGUGGUAAAUUUCAUCUAAAGCUAAAUAUUGGCGAGAGACCGAUAGCGAACAAGUACCGUGAGGGAAAGAUGAAAAGAACUUUGAAAAGAGAGUUAAACAGUACGUGAAAUUGUCAAAAGGGAAGCGUUUGACACCAGUGUUGUUUUUCCGAAAAUCAAUUAAAAAUGAUGGGAUGUUGUGUUGUAUUGACUUUAUCAGCUUUCUGCACUCUUUUUCCUAUCUUUUUUAAUGCACUUUUCGUUUAACAAGUCAACAUCAAUUUCUUUUGUUGUAAAAGAGUCAUUGGAAGGUGGCUUUCUUUUCGGAGAAAGUGUUUAUAGCCUUUGGCUUCUGCAAUCGGAGAGAUUGAGGUCUGCAGCGUAGAUCCUUCGGGGUUAGAUACAUUUGUGCUAAGUUAUAGCCUUUCAUAGACAACUUGUUGACUAUGAUCAGUCAUGUAGCUUACUCGCUUAUGCUAUUUUACCUACGCUUAGGAUGUUGACGCAUGAGAUAUACGC
rnacentral:rRNA from 1 species